rnacentral:lncRNA from 1 species
UGCCUAUUUAUUCAGUGUGUUCCAUGGCUGAGUUCAGAAAAGCUUUUCUCCCUUCUUCUCGAGCUGUAGUCCUAGUCCACUACAAAGGUGUUGGAGUCCUGGUAUUCUUGCUGGUGUGCAUCCUCUCUUUCAGCCACCAAGUUUGUUGUCUAGUGCAUCGCGUGUCAUGGUGACCACGCCCACUCGAGCUCACCCUCACCAUGGCCAGCAUUCGUCGGAGGUUGUCUCGGUCAUGUGGUGCCAGUUCCCUACUCCUCGUAGGUUAGUGAAGCUCACACCAUUUACUACUUGAACUCUACCACUGUCUGUUGCUGGGAACUAGGUGUAAAAUUCGCUCAAAGAUAGGUUGUCAGGUUUCUGGAUCCCAGACUUAGUGCAGAAGGCUGAAACUAGGUUUUAGUGUGUUGAGCUCAACUUUCGAGCUCUAUUGUGCCCAGUCUAUUUGGUUUUGGGCCAAAGUUCUGUAGCAAGUUUGAAGACCAUAAUAAGAUGAACAAAAUUACUAAAGAGAGAUGGGCUAGGUACUACACAAAAUUGGGAGUAAAACAUGUCCAAAUCUUCUCUGUCAGACUUAACGAAUGCUGGUUCAGAACACUAAAAUGGGGUUGCAGUGGUUUUGGCUCUACUUUGGUGCUUCAUAAAAAAUGUUCUGAAUGUUUUCAACCUAGGGGUGCUAUACCAAAGUAGUAGAGCUAUAUCUAAGGAAUAACUUUGGUAAGGUGAGCUUAGUCUGUUGUUGUGUAAAAAUUGGAGAAAAGGUUGGCUAAAGUUGGACUGUCAGGCUAGACAUAACUGAAUUUUGUUAUUCAGUUCUGAGAACUGAAUUGCAGCAGGAUGCCUAGUUUGAAAUUCAUUUGUGACUGAUUCAUGGGGUUUUGGAUUUCCAUAGCAAAGCUGGAGACCAUAGUAAAGUGAGCAAGUUUUAUAAAGUGAGGUGGACUUGGUUCCACAUAAAUUUGGGAGUAAAAGUGGCCAAAAGGUGGACUGUUAGGUGUUGGGAUCAGACUUAGAAUAAUAUUUAAGUCUGAAUUUGUGUGUUUUUAUUCAAAUUUGGGUCCUUGUGGUAAUUAAUCCAAGAAGAAUUGGGGUAGGAAUGCUAUAGCAAAGUGAAAGACCAUGUCAAGGAGAGAAAGUGUCAUACAGAGAAUUGGUUUGCUAAUAUAAAGAAUUUAGAGAAAAAGGAGUUGAAAAACUCUCUGUCAGAUUAAACAUGUGUUGUUUCAGACUUCUAAAAUUGGAAUGUUUCAGUGUUUUUGCUAUGUUUUGGUGCAGCAUAGCUUGUGUUUUGUACGAUUUUGACCUUGGACUGUUGUAGCAAACUGGUAGUGCUAUGGUUUGGGAGCAGGCUUGGCCAACUAAGUUGGUGUGGUGCUAUAGAAAAUGAUGAGUUUAAGGUACAUGUACAGGAGGGUUCAGGUGGACAGUAAGGUGUAAUUAGAAGUACUUAAUGUUAUCCUCUUUGUAACUGCAUAAGCAUAAACAUCCAUGAUCAUGUCAUUUCAUGUAGAACUCCCAGCAGGAAUGAAGAUUCAAGCUGAAGUGGUGACUGAAGAGAAAUCUACUCCGGUGAUUGAAGAGGAAUCUAGACCUCUUCACUGCAACAAAGGCAAGCCCCGGUGCAUGCAACCCCUUUCUUGUAUUUUUAAAAGACUUUUAUACACUUUAAGUCUAGUGAAAUGUGCAUUAAGUUUAUAGGAGUUGCUUGGAAACUAUUUGAUACAUUGACUACCUUGAUAUCCAUUCCUAUUAUAGAUACUUCUUUGGAAGUAUCAAAUAUUGUUUAUAAAAAUUGCUUAGCCCUGCCUAGAGGUAAAUCUUGCAGAUAUAAUUUGUCCUUUGCAUUAAUGCCUAGCUCAGGGUUUAUCCUGAGGAAGGAUGGCUCUACCUACAAGAAUAUUUUCAUCGGGAUCAUGGGGAGAUCUAAAGUAAGGUUCCCUGUGAUGUUUUAAUCAUCCUAAGAUACAUAAAUAAGUUCGAAGGAUGAAAGUACUUAAUUCGAGACUUGGGCUAGGAAUAGGUGAUGUUCUGCCCAGGUUGAUUAAGGAUUAUAGGGAAUGUAGGCUUGAUGAUCGAGGACUAUAUUAACUAGCCACAUGUCCUGGUAUGGGACAGGGUAAGCCUAAUCUUAGCUUGACCAAUACCAGAAAGGCUACCACGCAAUGGGAGUGGAGAGAUGGCGAGAGUAGCAUGUACCUGUUGAAAGCUAAAAAGAGCCUCGCGGACGGUCCGGACAGUCCGCGGUGGUGGCGCGGACGGUCCGCGUGUCCGCAGAGUCAGUUAGGGUUCCUAGUUUCUCGCGGGAUUUGUUACCUAAAAUCGCGGGAUUAACUCAGAAAACAGUUUGAAGCGGAUCCAUACCUCCCCCUUUAUAUAGAUGAAGGGCUACGACCGAUUGAACCCCAACAAUCGAUCAAAUCAAGUCUAUUUCUCGUUUUUUACCUUGUGCAUUAGGAGUAGCUCUAGUUUAGUUCUAGUUUAGUAUUUCAAUCCCCAAAUUCUCCGCUUCUCUUCGGCUCUACGUCGAUUAGAGGAGUCUAGGUCGGCCUGCCGAGCCUAGACAACAUCUCGGAUCUCUCCUCCCCGACGGGGUCCCUCCCGGGAGCGAGAUCCAAGCGCCGCCGGCAACCUUUGGCGCCCCUGCGCACGCGCGGACCGUUCGACCUUUAGGCGCGGACCGUCCGGCCGUCAGGCAGGGAACCCAAGCCCCUAUUCCAGGUGGCGAACUGUCCAGCCCCUGGCCGCGGACCGUCCGCGCCUCUGCAGAGGGCACCGCCACCGGUUCUCGUUAUAGUGAUUGGCGCCCUAAAAGGUGUCAACAUACUUUUGGCGACUCCGCUGGGGACAGGUGUUUAGAUCUAAAAAUCAGGCCCUCAAAUGUCGGUUCUAAAGAUCACAUCGAUAUCUCCCCGGACAAUAUCCUAAAGCCGCCUGUUGAAAGUCUGACGACCGAUGAGCAACAACAAUAUGAGGACUACAUGCGUCAAGCGAAGGAGAAAUUCUUAUCACAAUACAUGGUGGAUCGCCACCAGAAAGUUAUCAAACAUGGAGAGACCGACGUCGCAUCUCUUCUAUCUUCGCUUCAAGUCCCCAACGUAAGUAAACCCGACAACAUCCAAUCUAUUAAACAGUAUGUAGAUCAUCAGCAAAAUCAAAUGAAACAACAGAUUGGAGGGUUAGAAGAGUCAAUUAGAAAAUUAACGCGUACGUUGGAAAAGUCUGUUGCUCCUAGUUUUCCAUCAUACGAAACUAGUAAUAGGGUAUUUAUGUCUGAUGUAUCGGCAACAAAUGGGGAUUCGCAACCCCAGCCUUUGUAUGGUAUGCCGAUGAACUCAUAUUCAGGGCAAAUACAACCACCGCCGUCCCUGCUUGGCAGAUCGGCACCCCUGAACAUGGUCGGACCGUCCGAGCCUCUGCCCGGACCGUCCGGCCCAUACGCAGACCGUAUGGCUUGCUCUGGCGGACAGUCCAGGGCCGCCCUAGGACCACCGCCAUCCCUGAUUGGCAGAUCGGUGACCCUAGACGCAGUCGGACCAUCCGAGCUUCUACCCGGACCGUCUGGCCCUUACGCGGACCGUUCAACUUUCCCUAUCGGACAGUCCAGGGCCGCACCAGGACUACCAUGUGGUGUCUCGAUAAUGGCCAACGCAACCGGUCAGUUCGGAUUUACCACCGGACAAACCGGAUACGCAUAUGCAGAACCUGUUGUUGCACACCUUGCACCAAAUUAUUACACACCACAGCAGUAGUAUGUUUCACCCUUUACAUACUUAAACCAUAACGCACCAUACAAUCAUAGACUGAUCAACACUAUCGAUCGGUCACGGCAAGAAGGUCGGUAUGCUAAUGCCCGACCAAAUGAGCCCCACAGCCCAGGAUCCGGUGGUCUACCAUCGGGUGCAAUGGAAAAAAUUAGGGAAGAGAUGACUGAGCUAUUUCAAGAUAAGUUCGUAGUUAGUGUAGCCAGAGUGGGGCAAUCAUACCAAAAGCCAUAUAAUCACCGUUUUGACACUGUCCCAUAUCCACAAGGGGCAAGGAUACCAGAAUUUUCUAAGUUUUCUGGUGAGAAUGGAAGAAACACACACGAACACAUAGGCUAGUUCCUAGCACACCUAGGCGAAUUGGCCGAUGGAGAAGCAUUUCGUGUUCCUUUAUUUUCUUUAUCCCUUACUGGUACCGCUUUUGCAUGGUACGCCUCCCUGCCUCCUAAUUCCAUUAAUUUCUGGAAUGAGUUAGAAAGUAAAUUUCAUGAACAUUUCUUUGUCGGGGAAUAUGAAUUAGGACUAGCUGACUUAGCUUCAGUCCGACAAGGACGCGAAGAAUCGGUUAAUGAUUAUAUCCGGAGGUUCUGGGACACUAGAAACCGAUGCUUUCGGAUCCAUGUCACUGACAAAGAGCUAGCAGGGCUAGCUUUUAAUGGGUUGCUAUCCUACUUAAGAGACAAAUUAGAUGGGACCCACUUAUUUUCGAUAGCGCAGCUACAUCAGCAGGCUUUAGCCUAUGAAAGCUGAUUUAAUGAGACGUCAAAAUCGGCCGCCCGUACUAUACAUCUAAUAGAGCGUGAUAGUUCAGAUGAUGAAUCCGCAGAUGUAUAUACCGCUGAGUUUAUUUGGCCAACAAAGGCCAAAUCUUCGGCAUGUUCUUCCUUACAGCCGGUUCAAAAGAAUCGGCAAGAAGAGAUUAAAUUUACCUUUAAUGUUGUCAAAUGCGAUAAGAUAUUUGACGAGCUACUUAAAAAUGGCAAUAUUAAAUUAACUCAUACUAUCCCUCCUAUAGAUGAAUUAAAGAGACGUGCUUAUUGUAAGUGACAUAAUUCUUUUUCUCAUGCCACCAAUGACUGUAAUGUUUUUCGUCAACAUGUACAAUCGGCCAUAAAUGAGGGCCGAUUGGCUUUUCAGGAGAUGCAAGUGGACACACAACCAUUUCCUGUUAAUACAAUAGAUAUCGCAUGCAAAAAGAUCUUAGUUCAGCCCAAAACGACCGAUAAAGGCAAAAGCAAAGACAUCAUCAUUGGCAAUCCUCGCAUGUCAAAUAUAUCACAGAAGGAGAUUGCUCGAAAGGCUUCGGACGAUAAGGCUAAAAAGUUCGGAGGCACCGGGGGGCAGGCACAAUUAAUGAGCCAAGCACGACAGCCUGGCCUGAGCAUCACGGACGGUCUGACACAUACGUGCGGACGGUCCGGUGCUCAGACAGACGGUCCGGCUAACUCUGCCGGACAGUCCACCUAUGGCCAAAGGCAUCAGCCUCCACACAAAGCUUUAAAAGGGAAAGAGAUGCAAUGGCAAAGCACAUAUGGUCGGCUGAUCAAAGCUGACCCUACUUUUGAUCAGUUGCUCUCCAAGAAUACUAGGAAGAAGACUGUUCUACAUGGUCGGUCAACGAAGAAACCCCGGUCACCUACUAAAACGAAACGGGUAAACAAAACGGCCCUAAAGGCGACACAACAAGCAUCGCCUAUUCAUCCCAUGAGACCAGGGUACUUUCCACCCGUUUACUCAUCGUCGGUAUAUUAUCUUGUUCAAAUAUGGAAUGGUAUGAUGAUGAAUCCAUGGUACAUGUAUAGUCCUUUUGUCUAUCCAGACUGGGGGCACCUCCAUUCUAUUCUUUUUGAUCCAUUGAUCAAAUGGCCAUGGUCGAGAAAGAUACAAUCUGAAACGGCCUUUAUACAUUGGUGCUUUAUUGAAUGAUCUCAAUAUUGAAAAGCCGGUGACUUACAUCAGGUUUAGUUCAUAUGCUUUUGGUUCGUCAACCUUCACCAAAAGGCAGGGGGCAUAUGUUACGGCCGAUUGAACCCCCCAACAAUCGAUCAAAUCAAGUCUAUUUCUCGUUUUUUUUACCUUAUGCAUUAGGAGUAGCUCUAGUUUAGUUCUAGUUUAGUAUUUCAAUCCCCAAAUUCUCCGCUUCUCUUUUGCUCUACAUCGAUUAGAGGAGUCUAGGUCGGCCUACCGAGCCUAGACAACAUCUAGGAUUUCUCCUCCCCGACGGGGUCCCUCUCGGGAGCGAGAUCCAGGCACCGCCGGCAACCUUUGUCGCCCCUGCGCACGCGCGGACCGUCCGACCUUUAGGCGCGGACCGUCCGACCGUCAGGCAGGGAACCCAAGCCCCUAUUCUAGGUCGCGGACUGUCCGACCCCUGGCCGCGGACCGUCCGCGCCUCUGCAGAGGGCACCGACGUCGGUUCUCGUUAUAGUGAUUGGCGCCAGAAAAGGUAUCAACAGUACCCUCCGUGGCAAGAGGCUGGACGGUGGAGUAAUUGUGCUCUCGUUUGGUGUGAACCCGAUCUGGUCUUGAGAUAGCUGGGGGCGGGUUGGCAUAUGCAGGGGUUAAGUGCUACAUAUGUCGUGUGGUUAGGGAUCCCGAGCUGGGUAAAUCGAUUCAGAUCGUCGUUAUAUCCUCAGAUAAUGGAGACUUGAUCACUGCCCUGCAAUCUAAGUCAUGGAUGGAAUCAUAAUAAGCAAAAUUCAUGUUGUAUUGAUUAAUGUGAUGAUGAAAUUAGACUAAAUGCAAACAAGGUUUAUUAAUACUUAAUCUAGCAUUAAAAUGUUGAAAGUAAGGACUCAUUUUAGUAAGCUUUUCUGCAAACUAUUAAAGUUGAUUCUUGCUAAAAGCCUUUCCUUGAUUCCCAAAUCCAGCAUAUCCUUGAGAGUUUUUUUCCUUAGUCGGGUAAGACUUGCGAAAGUACACUCCGUACUCAGGGUUUUCGAACCCAUGUUGUUGUAGGUGAUGAGGAGUAUUCUAGUUCCUGUGGCUGGAGGGCGCAUCCAGUUCUGGAGGAGGACUAGCUAGGUUUAUGUAUGCGCUUUGGAGGGUUCUUACCUUCCUGCUAUUGUAAUAAGUUAUGCACUUUGAGUAUCUCAAGACUUGUAAUAUUUAUAAUUUUUUUAUGUUGUAAAACUUGAGUUUUGGAAAUAUAAAGUAUGUUUGUAAAGUCUUCCGCUCUAUCUCCAAAGUGUGUGUGUAUCGAAGUGAUUACUGUAAUAUACAUGAAUGUGGGAGAUCCUUAGGAUGAUGAGUUCAAGUUGAUGAACUCGAUAGCCUUGUUAAGUUACACAGUACACGUGCAUAACCAUCUGAGGCCGUUAAUGGCAAGGAUUGGUGCAUGUGGGCCCGAUAACUUGGGAGGGCUAUCACAAUCUGUGCUAGGAUAUAGAAGAUCAUCACAAAGUGGAAGAUAACAAAAGUUGUGAGCCACACACCUAUGGUGUACAUGAGUAACAAUGA